rnacentral:lncRNA from 1 species
AAAAACCCAACACAUACCUAACAUGUGGAUCGCAAAGGUACAGAGCCCAGUUAUUGACAACUACAUUGAGCUGAAUUCUCAAAUUUGGAGUAUAUCCAACCAGUUAGGCGUAUGUUGUUCACAGUUGAAGGUUAUGCCUUUGCUUGUACUUUAGCUCCCUACUUUGUACGUGAAAUGGGUACUUUUUAUUAUCACCAAAUAAUGUAAUUAUUGUGCAAAAUAAAAUGACAGUUAAUUUCCAGCGUACUAAUUUACGUGUUGUAUUUCUAGGCAAGGGGAACGCAUUCACUUAAAAUAGUACAUAAAAUGGACAAGAUCAUAAUGGUCAACACGUAACCAAAGUUUGAAAGGUAAUUCCCAAAUAACAAACAGCUUACCCAUGAAGAGAAAGCAGCUUACAUGGUCCUAGAAGGAAAAAUAACAGAAGGCCCCAACACAGAUAGCAACACGACAUUCAAAAUGCAUGUGAAGUUAAUAUGGCCUAAUAUAUCAAUGACUCAGCAUAAUUCAAAAUAGGCCUAACAUUAGAUACUAAUUAUAACGACUUCUGACAAGAACCGCUGGUUAAUUAUAAUUGUACUUGUUAGCCAAAAUGAAAAAUAACACAGGCGUUGUUAAAGAGUUUUGAAUCAUAGAGCAAGAUGCUUUGUAGUUGUACCACCACUUCACGGUUGAGUUCUUCUUGCGUUCCCCCCAUUGUAUUGUGAACACACUUGUCCUCCAUUGUUAAUUGAUAUGCAAUACUUCGUAAUGAAAACAAUGUAAAA